rnacentral:rRNA from 1 species
GAACGUCCUGGUCUUUUUCGGAAGGCGAGGGAGUGGCGGACGGGUGAGGAACACAUGGGUGACCUACCCUGUCGUGAGGGAUACCGGCGAGAAAUCGCCGACAAUACCGCAUAGGUUUGGCAACAAACAAAGCUAAGCAAUUAGCGCCCCAAGAUGAGCCUGCGCCCGAUUAGCUAGGUUGGUGGGGUAAAGGCCUACCAAGGCGACAAUCGGUAGCUGGUCUGAGAGGACGAUCAGCCACACUGGGAUUGAGAACGGCCCAGACUCCUACGGGGGGCAGCAGUGAGGAAUUUUCGUCAAUGGGGGCAACCCUGAACGAGCAACGCCGCGUGCAGGAAGAAGGUUUUCGGAUCGUAAACUGCUUUUCCUGGGGAAGAGAAUGGACGGUACCCAGGGAAUAAGCCCCGGCUAACUACGUG